UACAGAGGUCUCAAGCGUUGUUCGGAUUCAUUGGGCGUAAAGAGCUCGUAGGUGGUUUGGUAAGUCGGAUGUGAAAUCUCCAGGCUCAACCUGGAGGGGUCAUUCGAUACUGCCAUGACUAGAGGUCGGUAGGGGAGUGUGGAAUUCCUGGUGGAGCGGUGAAAUGCGCAGAUAUCAGGAGGAACACCCGUAGCGAAGGCGGCACUCUGGGCCGAUUCUGACACUGAGGAGCGAAAGCGUGGGGAGCGAACAGG
rnacentral:rRNA from 1 species